rnacentral:rRNA from 1 species
AGCGAACGCUGGCGGCAGGCCUAACACAUGCAAGCCGAACGGAUCCUUCGGGAUUAGUGGCGGACGGGUGAGUAACACGUGGGAACGUGCCCUUUGGUUCGGAACAACUCAGGGAAACUUGAGCUAAUACCGGAUGUGCCCUUCGGGGGAAAGAUUUAUCGCCAUUGGAGCGGCCCGCGUCUGAUUAGCUAGUUGGUGAGGUAAAGGCUCACCAAGGCGACGAUCAGUAGCUGGUCUGAGAGGAUGAUCGGCCACAUUGGGACUGAGACACGGCCCAAACUCCUACGGGAGGCAGCAGUGGGGAAUCUUGCGCAAUGGGCGAAAGCCUGACGCAGCCAUGCCGCGUGAAUGAUGAAGGUCUUAGGAUUGUAAAAUUCUUUCACCGGGGACGAUAAUGACGGUACCCGGAGAAGAAGCCCCGGCUAACUUCGUGCCAGCCGCCGCGGUAA